rnacentral:rRNA from 1 species
UACGUAGGGUGCGAGCGUUGUCCGGAAUUAUUGGGCGUAAAGGGCUCGUAGGCGGUUUGUCGCGUCGGGAGUGAAAACACCGGGCUUAACUCGGUGCUGGCUUUCGAUACGGGCAGACUAGAGGUAUUCAGGGGAGAACGGAAUUCCUGGUGUAGCGGUGAAAUGCGCAGAUAUCAGGAGGAACACCGGUGGCGAAGGCGGUUCUCUGGGCAUGUCCUGACGCUGAGGAGCGAAAGUGUGGGGAGCGAACAGG